rnacentral:rRNA from 1 species
GAGGAAAGCGGGGGGCGUGCCUAAUACAUGCAAGUCGAGCGAACAGACGAGGAGCUUGCUCCUCUGACGUUAGCGGCGGACGGGUGAGUAACACGUGGAUAACCUACCUAUAAGACUGGGAUAACUUCGGGAAACCGGAGCUAAUACCGGAUAAUAUAUUGAACCGCAUGGUUCAAUAGUGAAAGACGGUUUUGCUGUCACUUAUAGAUGGAUCCGUGUCGCAUUAGCUAGUUGGUAAGGUAACGGCUUACCAAGGCAACGAUGCGUAGCCGACCUGAGAGGGUGAUCGGCCACACUGGAACUGAGACACGGUCCAGACUCCUACGGGAGGCAGCAGUAGGGAAUCUUCCGCAAUGGGCGAAAGCCUGACGGAGCAACGCCGCGUGAGUGAUGAAGGUCUUCGGAUCGUAAGACUCUGUUAUUAGGGAAGAACAAAUGUGUAAGUAACUAUGCACGUCUUGACGGUACCUAAACAGAAAGCCACGGCUAACUACGUG